GGUGUAUAGCUCAGUGGUGAGCAUUCGACUGCAGAUCGAGAGGUCCCUCGUUCAAACCCGAGGCCCCA